UAAAGUAUCAACAUUAAAUUU
rnacentral:piRNA from 1 species